CCGAGGUCUGAAAGAGGUCAGCGGGAAAAACGUGUCAUUAGUCGCUACGGUGGAUUACGUUUACAUCGUAGCCUGCGUGGCACGUGGACGUUGGACAGUAUAAAGUAUAGUAUUGUUAUAGUAUAAUAGUUUAGCAUAUUCCUAGUAUAAUAGUUUAGUAUAGUUUUAGUAGGCCUGUAAUAGUUGAGUAUAGUUAUAAUAGUAUAGUAUAGUUGUAGUAUAUAAUAUAGUUAUAGUAUAAUAGUUUAGUAUAUUAUAGUAAAAUAGUUCAGUAUAGUUAUAGUAUUUUAUUAGUAUAGUCAUAGUAUAAUAGUAUAGUAGAGUUAUAAUAUAACCUGUGGGAAUUGAGUUUGGGAAACCAAUGUCUCUGUUUGAUAAUGUGCCUGUUCUAACAGAUACAUUAUCAGAUGUUGAGGCCUUAUCAAUGAAUUGAUGAGUUGUUAAAAGGCUAGUCUGUUUUAUCUCAUGAGAAUCACUUCACAUCUUUUUUUAUUGGAUUUUGAGAUGCAUGGAAUAUUUUAAGCUAAACAGGCUGUAUCUUAAUCACUUAACGUCUUGACUGUUUCAUUAUUAAUCGAUGCUGUGAUCUGUGUCACAGGCCUUCAUGAGUGAGCCGAUCUGAAAGAUUUAGGUCUGACGGGUUUGACCCGACAGUAAAACAAAAGUCUUGAUAGAAAAGUCAACCUGCCUCCAAGUAGAGGGACAGCUGUGCCCUCCUGAACUCUGGGCUGACUAUAGAACGUGUUCCACUGGAGGGAAAGGACUCAGGCGCCCCCCCAACCCAUGAGCAGGGCAUCUCCCCGAUGCUGGGGAGGCUCAGCGCAGCUCUGUGCCCCCCCCCCCCCCCCCCCCCCACCCCCCCCCCCUAAUGACUCCCGCGUUCAGCGGAGUCAGCAGCAGAUCAAAAGGUAUGGACUAAGCAAGUUGGAAGUCCUGGAUAACUGUACUGCUGUACUAGAGGGUUGUAAUGAUGAAAGAGUUGUCUCAGUGGUGGAGGGAGGGCCCUCUUACGCACGCACGCACGCACGCACACACAUAAACAUGGAAACGCACUCACAAACACACACUCACACACAUAUGCACACUUAAUCCCACACACACAUACACACGCACGCACGCACGCACUCACAAACACACACACUCACUUUCACAACCAUACACCCAAUUAGCAUUUCUUUGUACACGCACACACUCACACUCGCAUACACCCCCCACACACACACACACACACACACACACACACACACACACACACACACACACACACACACACACACACACACACACACACACACACGCGCGCUCGCAGCGCCCGGAGGCUAAGCUUUUUAUACACAGUAUCAGUAUUUAAUCAGUGCUUGAAGUGCAUUUCUCUGUCAAGUGCUCCAGCCUCCCUGGUGUUGGUGGUAAUUGAACGCUGACCGAUGCUUAGUGAGCAGCUUUGCUGAUGGUGGCUGCGCAGCUCGGGACGAGGUGGAGCGGGAGAACCAGAGAUGGGAUUUGCGGAGAGAUGAGAACAAGGACCUUUUUGUCUUCAAGGCAUUCCCCGCGAAACGCUGAGGCGACGCAAACGCUCCCGCUCCCAGAUGGAGCGCUGAGCUCUGCCUUUAUUGUCUUGUUGUGGCCCGUGGUGCAUGGUAUAU